rnacentral:rRNA from 1 species
AUUGAACGCUGGCGGCAUGCCUUACACAUGCAAGUCGAACGGCAGCACGGGUGCUUGCACCUGGUGGCGAGUGGCGAACGGGUGAGUAAUAUAUCGGAACGUACCUUAUUGUGGGGGAUAACGCAGCGAAAGCUGUGCUAAUACCGCAUAAUCCCUAAGGGGGAAAGCGGGGGACCGUAAGGCCUCGCGCAAUUAGAGCGGCCGAUACCUGAUUAGCUAGUUGGUGAGGUAAAGGCUCACCAAGGCAACGAUCAGUAGCUGGUCUGAGAGGACGGUCAGCCACACUGGGAGUGAGGCACGGCCCAGACUCCUACGGGAGGCAGCAGUGGGGAAUUUUGGACAAUGGGGGGAACCCUGAUCCAGCAAUGCCGCGUGAGUGAAGAAGGCCUUCGGGUUGUAAAGCUCUUUUGUCAGGGAAGAAACAGCAGCUCUAACACAGUUUGCGAAUGACGGUACCUGACGAAUAAGCACCGGCUAACUACGUGCCAGCAGCCGCGGUAA